UAAGCAUAUCAAUAAGCGGAGGAAAAGAAACCAACAGGGAUUGCCUCAGUAACGGCGAGUGAAGCGGCAACAGCUCAAAUUUGAAAUCUGGCCCUAGGCCCGAGUUGUAAUUUGCAGAGGAUGCUUUUGGUGCGGUGCCUUCCAAGUUCCCUAGAACGGGACGCCAGAGAGGGUGAGAGCCCCGUACAGUUGGACACCAAGCCUUUGUAAAGCUCCUUCGACGAGUCGAGUAGUUUGGGAAUGCUGCUCAAAAUGGGAGGUAUAUUUCUUCUAAAGCUAAAUACCGGCCAGAGACCGAUAGCGCACAAGUAGAGUGAUCGAAAGAUGAAAAGCACUUUGAAAAGAGGGUUAAACAGCACGUGAAAUUGUUAAAAGGGAAGCGCUUGUGACCAGACUUGCGUCCGGUGAAUCACCCAGCUCUCGCGGCUGGGGCACUUCGCCGGCUCAGGCCAGCAUCAGCUCGCUGUCGGGGACAAAAGCUUCAGGAACGUAGCUCUCUUCGGGGAGUGUUAUAGCCUGUUGCAUAAUACCCUUCGGCGGGCUGAGGUACGCGCUCCGCAAGGAUGCUGGCAUAAUGGUCAUCAGCGACCCGUCUUGAAACACGGACCAAGGAGUCAACCUUAUGUGCGAGUGUUCGGGUGUCAAACCCCUACGCGUAAUGAAAGUGAACGCAGGUGAGAGCUUCGGCGCAUCAUCGACCGAUCCUGAUGUUCUCGGAUGGAUUUGAGUAAGAGCAUAUAGGGUUGGACCCGAAAGAAGGUGAACUAUGCGUGUAUAGGGUGAAGCCAGAGGAAACUCUGGUGGAGGCUCGCAGCGGUUCUGACGUGCAAAUCGAUCGUCAAAUAUGCGCAUGGGGGGCGAAAGACUAAUCGAACCUUCUAGUAGCUGGUUUCCGCCGAAGU
rnacentral:rRNA from 1 species